UACGGAGGGUGCAAACGUUGCUCGGAAUCAUUGGGCGUAAAGCGUGUGUAGGCGACCUGUUAAGUCGGGUGUGAAAGCCCCGGGCUCAACCCGGGAAGUGCAUUCGAUACUGGACAUCUUGAGUACGGGAGAGGUGAGUGGAACUCCGAGUGUAGAGGUGAAAUUCGUAGAUAUUCGGAAGAACACCAGUGGCGAAGGCGACUCACUGGCCCGUUACUGACGCUGAGGCGCGAAAGCGUGGGGAGCAAACAGG
rnacentral:rRNA from 1 species